UACGUAGGGUGCGAGCGUUGUCCGGAUUUAUUGGGCGUAAAGAGCGUGUAGGCGGCCAUACAGGUCCGUUGUGAAAACUCGAGGCUCAACCUCGAGACGUCGAUGGAAACCGUAUGGCUAGAGUCCGGAAGAGGAGAGUGGAAUUCCUGGUGUAGCGGUGAAAUGCGCAGAUAUCAGGAAGAACACCCGUGGCGAAGGCGGCUCUCUGGGACGGUACUGACGCUGAGACGCGAAAGCGUGGGGAGCGAACAGG
rnacentral:rRNA from 1 species